GGGCUUGUCUCAGCAGCACAUAUACCAAAAUUGAAAUGACACAGAGAGGAUUAGCAUGGCCUCCAUGCAAGGAUGCCACACACUCGAGAAUUGUUCCAUAUUUUG
ensembl:snRNA U6 U6 spliceosomal RNA